GAUGAACGCUGGCGGCGUGCCUAAUACAUGCAAGUCGAGCGAACGGACGAGAAGCUUGCUUCUCUGAUGUUAGCGGCGGACGGGUGAGUAACACGUGGAUAACCUACCUAUAAGACUGGGAUAACUUCGGGAAACCGGAGCUAAUACCGGAUAAUAUUUUGAACCGCAUGGUUCAAAAGUGAAAGACGGUCUUGCUGUCACUUAUAGAUGGAUCCGCGCUGCAUUAGCUAGUUGGUAAGGUAACGGCUUACCAAGGCAACGAUGCAUAGCCGACCUGAGAGGGUGAUCGGCCACACUGGAACUGAGACACGGUCCAGACUCCUACGGGAGGCAGCAGUAGGGAAUCUUCCGCAAUGGGCGAAAGCCUGACGGAGCAACGCCGCGUGAGUGAUGAAGGUCUUCGGAUCGUAAAACUCUGUUAUUAGGGAAGAACAUAUGUGUAAGUAACUGUGCACAUCUUGACGGUACCUAAUCAGAAAGCCACGGCUAACUACGUGCCAGCAGCCGCGGUAAUACGUAGGUGGCAAGCGUUAUCCGGAAUUAUUGGGCGUAAAGCGCGCGUAGGCGGUUUUUUAAGUCUGAUGUGAAAGCCCACGGCUCAACCGUGGAGGGUCAUUGGAAACUGGAAAACUUGAGUGCAGAAGAGGAAAAGUGGAAUUCCAUGUGUAGCGGUGAAAUGCGCAGAGAUAUGGAGGAACACCAGUGGCGAAGGCGACUUUCUGGUCUGUAACUGACGCUGAUGUGCGAAAGCGUGGGGAUCAAACAGGAUUAGAUACCCUGGUAGUCCACGCCGUAAACGAUGAGUGCUAAGUGUUAGGGGGUUUCCGCCCCUUAGUGCUGCAGCUAACGCAUUAAGCACUCCGCCUGGGGAGUACGACCGCAAGGUUGAAACUCAAAGGAAUUGACGGGGACCCGCACAAGCGGUGGAGCAUGUGGUUUAAUUCGAAGCAACGCGAAGAACCUUACCAAAUCUUGACAUCCUUUGACAACUCUAGAGAUAGAGCCUUCCCCUUCGGGGGACAAAGUGACAGGUGGUGCAUGGUUGUCGUCAGCUCGUGUCGUGAGAUGUUGGGUUAAGUCCCGCAACGAGCGCAACCCUUAAGCUUAGUUGCCAUCAUUAAGUUGGGCACUCUAAGUUGACUGCCGGUGACAAACCGGAGGAAGGUGGGGAUGACGUCAAAUCAUCAUGCCCCUUAUGAUUUGGGCUACACACGUGCUACAAUGGACAAUACAAAGGGCAGCGAAACCGCGAGGUCAAGCAAAUCCCAUAAAGUUGUUCUCAGUUCGGAUUGUAGUCUGCAACUCGACUACAUGAAGCUGGAAUCGCUAGUAAUCGUAGAUCAGCAUGCUACGGUGAAUACGUUCCCGGGUCU
rnacentral:rRNA from 1 species